rnacentral:rRNA from 1 species
AACGAACGCUGGCGGCAUGCCUAACACAUGCAAGUCGAACGAGACCUUCGGGUCUAGUGGCGCACGGGUGCGUAACGCGUGGGAACCUGCCCUUAGGUUCGGAAUAACUCCCCGAAAGGGGUGCUAAUACCGGAUAAUGUCUUCGGACCAAAGAUUUAUCGCGUUUGGAUGGGCCCGCGUUGGAUUAGCUAGUUGGUAGGGUAAAAGCCUACCAAGGCGACGAUCCAUAGCUGGUCUGAGAGGAUGAUCAGCCACACUGGGACUGAGACACGGCCCAGACUCCUACGGGAGGCAGCAGUGUGGAAUAUUGGACAAUGGGCGAAAGCCUGAUCCAGCAAUGCCGCGUGAGUGAUGAAGGCCUUAGGGUUGUAAAGCUCUUUUACCCGGGAUGAUAAUGACAGUACCGGGAGAAUAAGCACCGGCUAACUCCGUG